CCAUAGAGUAGUAUAAUAAAUACGAUCGUACUCAUCGGGCUAUAAACUAAAGCUUAAGCUUGACGUUAUAACUAGUUCUUAAAGCUAAAGUUCGAUGAUCGUACCAUAUUUUGUGCUUUGCUCGUUUCGGUUAGAGUGGAGACGCAAAAAACCGAUUUAAGUAUUGUCUUGGUUGUCGUGUAACGAAGGCACCAUGAGUGCACGCACAAAAUAUUUUGUUUUUUCUGUAUUUUGACUUGCUUCCUUUCGUUUAGUUACUACCAGUCGACACCAUAAAGGACUGUCAAGAAGAAACAACAGCUCAAAAACUUGCUUCUGAGAAACAUUUCGACAAACAUCAGUUUGACGAAAAAGACUAGCUAGAAAUUGCGCUGUUCUUAUCUUUGAUUGUUAACGGAUGAAAAAAGGCAUAAUAUGGUGAACCCUUUGAUUUUCCUCAAGCAGUAUCAAUCUGAAGUGUGGAUCUACAUCUACAACACCAAAUUGGUUCAGUUCAUUGUUCAAUUCAUAAUUUGGUAUCCGGUGACCUGACAUAACUGAUGAAAAACUUAACAAUACAAUGAUUCCUUACAAAAUUUGUAUAAAAAAAAUUAUAACAAUUACUACAGCAAGUUUCGGUCUAGUUCCAACUCGGUUUAAAAGGCUGCCCUAGAGUAUGAUUUCUAAGUAGACAUGUGACGUUUAAUGAAAAAAGGUUUUGUGGAUUUGCUACAGACAAAAAAAAUUGUUUUCAAGCUCUAGUAUUUAAGAUGGAACAAUCAACAUUACUGGCUAUGAGUUAAGCUAACUUGCUAUCCACCUCCUCUAUAAAAAGAUUGAGAAAUAACUCCCUCACUGAAG